AUGUUCAUUUUGUACCAUGAAUUUAAUGUUCUUGAACUCAAAUUAUCUGGCCAGUGCUGGCCUGGUGAUCUGUUCGAGUUUCCGAAGGUUUCGAGCCCCAAUAAACAAUUUUAAGCUACUUUACAACAUUUUACAACUCAAGAUACAUGUUUUUCCAUUUGUGCGAGCAAUGGAAAAUUCUUCAACCUGCUACCCCUCUUGCGAAGCAAUCUUCUCGAAACUCUCCUCUCUCCCGCACAAGACACCGUAAGACAGGAUCAGAAAUAAUGGGCUCACCGUGGUACACCCGAUUAUACUCAGCGUUCAUAACUCAGGUGUAGGAAACAGGAAACAGAUGCGUCACUACUCCGGGCACAGUGUUUACUUUAGAACAAUGCUUCCGCUUCAGAUGGGCUGUGUUGUUGUUGACUUUGGUGUUGUUGCGAAAGUUCGUACAAUGUUCGCCGUCGGCUAUCCCGGACUGUGUGAGAACAGGGAUAUCAUCAUCAUCAUCAUCAUCAGGAAGAAAAUGAAAUAUUAAACCAGCGGCACUGCACUACAGGGAUGUGUGCAUGAAAGUAACGCUCCAGGUACAGUACUGUGUUGGAAAGAAUGUAGUUUGGAUUCCGUCCAGGAUGUUCAGUCAAACAAACUAUUUAACCAGCAAUCGACGGUUUGAUGAACAACUGCCAUAUUCAAGUAUUUCCUCAGAAGCUUACUCUCUUUUUGCUCUGUCAUCUUCAUCCGAUGAACUGUUAAACUUGCUAAGAGCUAUUCCUUAUCCCUGCGAUUAUCUUCUUACCGAGGCCGGCCUAUCACCUUCACGGACAACUACACUGUGUCCUCCGAACGCAUUAAACCGACCAAGACGUCCAAAACAUCCAUUUCUGGGUGAUAAAACUGGUCAAACUGUCCAACGAAACCCACACACACAUGUACACACACGCACAAAUAAACGUUUGUUUGGGAAAAGUGAUCACACACGCUAAGGAAGGGAUGCCCAAUCAGCAACAAAGUCAAAUAUAUCCAACCGUACGUGACCUGUGUGUAGCCGAAAGGCACCGGCAGCAGCCACCGAAAGGAUAAUCACACGACCGAGCAGCCGAGGCACGCAAUUUCCCACCCACUCCCACAUAUUGCCCAUCCCUCCCUAGAACCGAUGCUUCUCCGUAAGGGCAGUGUUGGGAAGCGCGCGUGCACACAAUGACGAAUGAUUUUGCUGAUCAAUUAAGGUUUUCCCAUGCAUCAGCAAUUCUCGGAAGCGGCGCGGGGCGAUAUUUUUAUGCCUGCCAAAUGCUAACCCGUAAACAGCAGACACAACCAAGGGCAAAAGAUUAAGGGAAAAUUGUAUUUACCGCUCAGAUAAAAGCUCUCGGUAAACAGUCUGCUCCACCAAAGACUGUAACUGUCGGUGUGGGUGAAAGACUUCAAGGGCAAUGAUUUUCUUAAAUUAUGCAAAUGAUGUGUGCGUCACCGUACACAAAAACCGCACCGUGGAGCGUAAUCCAUCUUGACAAAUCGAGCAAUUUAACAAACAGCAAACGCUUGAGUCUCCUACUGUCAGAGGCUACUCCGCACAAGAGACGACACUUCAAACGACACACAGUCGCCGCGCACGGUUGGAAAUCGAACCGAACCGCAACUCGACCGUGUAAUCAGCGAGUGUCUACUUCAAACUUCAAUAUUAAUAUCCUUCUUCGCCGGCUCCAAAACCCCAAACCAACCAUCCUUCCAUCAUUCGCCGAAACUUCUUCCCCCAAAGCCAGACGAAUAAUCCUCUGUUUGUGGGGCAUAAAUUUUGCACACAAUCGCCAGGCGGCAAAACCCAUGAAGUCGUCAACCUUCACCAACGUACGCGCGGUGUGGGGCGCGCGCGCGCUGGAGAAGAUGUUAAGCUGUUGUCAGCUAAAUUAUGUUUGCCAUAUCUGU